rnacentral:rRNA from 1 species
GACGAACGCUGGCGGCGUGCUUAACACAUGCAAGUCGAACGGAAAGGCCCUGCUUUUGUGGGGUGCUCGAGUGGCGAACGGGUGAGUAACACGUGAGUAACCUGCCCUUGACUUUGGGAUAACUUCAGGAAACUGGGGCUAAUACCGGAUAGGAGCUCCUGCUGCAUGGUGGGGGUUGGAAAGUUUCGGCGGUUGGGGAUGGACUCGCGGCUUAUCGGCUUGUUGGUGGGGUAGUGGCUUACCAAGGCUUUGACGGGUAGCCGGCCUGAGAGGGUGACCGGCCACAUUGGGCCUGAGAUACGGACCAGUCUCCUACGGGACGCAGCAGUGGGGAAUAUUGCACAAUGGGCGGAAGCCUGAUGCAGCAACGCCGCGUGCGGGAUGACGGCCUUCGGGUUGUAAACCGCUUUCGCCUGUGACGAAGCGUGAGUGACGGUAAUGGGUAAAGAAGCACCGGCUAACUACGUG